rnacentral:rRNA from 1 species
GAUGAACGCUGGCGGCGUGCCUAAUACAUGCAAGUCGAGCGAACGGACGAGAAGCUUGCUUUUCUGAUGUUAGCGGCGGACGGGUGAGUAACACGUGGAUAACCUACCUAUAAGACUGGGAUAACUUCGGGAAACCGGAGCUAAUACCGGAUAAUAUUUUGAACCGCAUGGUUCAAAAGUGAAAGACGGUCUUUCUGUCACUUAUAGAUGGAUCCGCGCUGCAUUAGCUAGUUGGUAAGGUAACGGCUUACCAAGGCAACGAUGCAUAGCCGACCUGAGAGGGUGAUCGGCCACACUGGAACUGAGACACGGUCCAGACUCCUACGGGAGGCAGCAGUAGGGAAUCUUCCGCAAUGGGCGAAAGCAUGACGGAGCAACGCCGCGUGAGUGAUGAAGGUCUUCGGAUCGUAAAACUCUGUUAUUAGGGAAGAACAUAUGUGUAAGUAACUGUGCACAUCUUGACGGUACCUAAUCAGAAAGCCACGGCUAACUACGUG